GACAGAGGUGCCGAGCGUUAGGCGGAAUCACUGGGCUUAAAGCGUGUGUAGGCGGACCGUUAAGUGUCUUGUGAAAUCCCCCGGCUCAACCGGGGAAUUGCUGGGCAUACUGGCGGUCUUGAGCAGUCUAGGGGCAGAUGGAACAGACGGUGGAGCGGUGAAAUGCGUAGAUAUCGGAAGGAACACCUGUGGCGAAAGCGGCUCACUGGACCAUUACUGACGCUGAUGCACGAAAGCUAGGGGAGCAAACAGG
rnacentral:rRNA from 1 species